rnacentral:rRNA from 1 species
UACGGAGGGUGCAAGCGUUAAUCGGAAUUACUGGGCGUAAAGCGUGCGCAGGCGGUUUGUUAAGUCCGUUGUGAAAGCCCCGAGCUCAACUUGGGAAUUGCAGUGGAUACUGGCAGGCUGGAGUAUGGUAGAGGAAGGUGGAAUUCCCGGUGUAGCAGUGAAAUACGUAGAGAUCGGGAGGAACACCAGUGGCGAAGGCGGCCUUCUGGACCAAUACUGACGCUCAUGCACGAAAGCGUGGGGAGCAAACAGG